rfam:Cymbidium ringspot virus satellite RNA gene for hypothetical protein, complete cds.
GAGUUUGAUACCUCUUUCUGGAAGAGAUCUUUUGGGUUUGAAGGCAGGGUCUACCCGUGAGGGGAUAAAUGUAACUUCCUGCAAUUUUCCAACUCG